GGAUGGUCACGCCGCAAUCCCUUCUCCUCCGUUCUCCUCUCGGGAUCUUGGGCAUGCACGCACACGCACCCGGUGUGAGUUUUAAGCCACCGGGUCCGGGACGCGAACCGUGCACUCGGUCGAAGAGGACGACCAUCCCCGAUAGAGGAGGACUAUUCUUCGGUCAAGGGUAUACGAGUAGCUGCGCUCCCCUGCUAGAACCUCCAAACAAGCUCUCAAGGUCCAUUCUCUUUUUUUUAAGAGAAAAAAAUUGUAUUGUGAUAUAAAAUGCACUUAUGAAAUAUCUACAGAAUGCAUGUAAUUCUUU
rnacentral:snRNA from 1 species